rnacentral:rRNA from 1 species
UACAGAGGUCUCAAGCGUUGUUCGGAUUCAUUGGGCGUAAAGGGUGUGUAGGUGGCGCGCUAAGUCGGGUGUGAAAUUUCGGAGCUUAACUCCGAAACUGCAUUCGAUACUGGCGUGCUUGAGGACUGGAGAGGAGACUGGAAUUCCUGGUGUAGCGGUGAAAUGCGCAGAUAUCAGGAGGAACACCGGUGGCGAAGGCGGUUCUCUGGGCAUGUCCUGACGCUGAGGAGCGAAAGUGUGGGGAGCGAACAGG